rnacentral:rRNA from 1 species
UACAGAGGGUGCAAGCGUUAAUCGGAAUUACUGGGCGUAAAGCGUGCGUAGACGGUUAUUUAAGUCAGGUGUGAAAGCCCCGGGCUUAACCUGGGAACUGCGUUUGAUACGGCAGGGCUAGAGUUCGGGAGAGGAGAGUGGAAUUCCCAGUGUAGAGGUGAAAUUCGUAGAUAUUGGGAAGAACACCGGUGGCGAAGGCGGCUCUCUGGACCGAUACUGACGCUGAGGCGCGAAAGCGUGGGGAGCAAACAGG